rnacentral:rRNA from 1 species
CCUACGGGUGGCAGCAGUGGGGAAUAUUGCACAAUGGGCGAAAGCCUGAUGCAGCAACGCCGCGUGAGCGAUGAAGGCCUUCGGGUCGUAAAGCUCUGUCCUCAAGGAAGAUAAUGAAGGUACUUGAGGAGGAAGCCCCGGCUAACUACGUGCCAGCAGCCGCGGUAAUACGUAGGGGGCUAGCGUUAUCCGGAAUUACUGGGCGUAAAGGGGGCGUAGGUGGUUUCUUGAGUCAGAGGUAAAAGGCUACGGCUCAACCGUAGUAAGCCGUUGAAACUGGGGGACUUGAGUGGAGGAGAGGAGAGUGGAAUUCGUAGUGUAGCGGUGAAAUGCGUAGAUAUUAGGAAGAACACCAGUUGCGAAGGCGGCUCUCUGGA